rnacentral:rRNA from 1 species
UACGGAGGGGGCAAGCGUUGCUCGGAAUCACUGGGCGUAAAGCGCACGUAGGCGGAUUGUUAAGUCAGGGGUGAAAUCCUGGAGCUCAACUCCAGAACUGCCUUUGAUACUGACGGUCUUGAGUCCGGGAGAGGUGAGUGGAACUCCGAGUGUAGAGGUGAAAUUCGUAGAUAUUCGGAAGAACACCAGUGGCGAAGGCGGCUCACUGGCCCGGUACUGACGCUGAGGUGCGAAAGCGUGGGGAGCAAACAGG